GUUUGAUCCUGGCUCAGGAUGAACGCUGGCGGCGUGCCUAAUACAUGCAAGUCGUACGAACAGCGGAAAGUGCUUGCACUUUCCAAGUAAGUGGCGAACGGGUGAGUAACACGUGAAUAACCUACCUCAAAGUCUGGGAUAACCAUUGGAAACAGUGACUAAUACCGGAUAAAACCCAAGUGCACAUGCACUAAGGUUAAAAGCUGCGUUUGCAGCGCUUUAAGAUGGAUUCGCGGUGCAUUAGUUAGUUGGUGAGGUAAAGGCUCACCAAGACGAUGAUGCAUAGCCGAGUUGAGAGACUGACCGGCCACAUUGGGACUGAGACACGGCCCAAACUCCUACGGGAGGCUGCAGUAGGGAAUCUUCCACAAUGGGCGCAAGCCUGAUGGAGCAACGCCGCGUGUGUGAUGAAGGCUUUCGGGUCGUAAAGCACUGUUGUAUGGGAAGAACGGGUUUAAGAGGAAAUGC
rnacentral:rRNA from 1 species